rnacentral:lncRNA from 1 species
UAAUGUGGCGCACAGCGGACAUCGAAUACCCUAACACCGGAAUCCUGUUGUUAUAAAAUAAUACCAUUAUGAUGAUGGAAUAAAAAACCUAGUUCCUUUCCGAAACCUGUAAUGACAAGAUAAUACUUCGGAUAGCGAAAUAAUACGAAAUAAUACGAAAUAAUACGAGUUUAAUUGUGACGUAUUUGUGAAGAUUUUCCGCUCUGUUUUGAGAUGCUUUCCUGCCUUGACAGAUGAUCAAUGAAGUCGGUCAUUUGGGGAUUCAAAACGACACUAUUUUCUUACCUCAGUUUGACAUUUUACAAACACCACCCCCUUCUAUUCCUACAUCAAUAGGCCUAAGAAGACACAUUGUAGCCUAGUACAAUACCCCGUCUAAACGGAAACAGUCCCGCAGAUACAGCGUCUCAACUUGGAUCACUAAAUAUGAUUGGCCUCAAGUACAACAUGUCUCUACCCAUGGCUGCAGGGGCCUUGUUAGUGGGCAUCCCCUACUCCAUCUCUCUCGUAGCCCAGUGGAUGUAUGGCUGGCCUAACAAGCCAGGCUAUAAAAAGUACAUCGAGGCUCUGAAGCCAAGGUAAUUUAACAUUCCAGCGCUACUAUUAUCUUCAAUGAUAUAUUGUUGUGUGUGUGUCCUGAAUGGCACCCUAUUCCCUACAUAGAGCACCAGAACCCUAUGGGCCAUGGUCAAAAGUAGUGCACUAUAUAGGGAAUAGGGUGCCAUAGGGCCCUGGUCAAAAGUAGUGCACUAUAUAGGGAAUAGGGUGCCAUUUGGGACAUAAACAUUGUUAUGAGGUUCUGAUUUUUAUAGUCUCUUCCUACGCAAAGAGUCUGGCAAGCAGGACUCAUAUUUAUUCAUCGGUUCUGAGAUGUACGUGUGUGUGUGUGUGUGUGUGUGUGUGUGUGUGUGUGUGUGUGUGUGUGUGUGUGUGUGUGUGUGUGUCCUCUCCCCAGGCGGAUAUACUGUCUGACUAGAGCUGUGCUGGAGAUGCUGAAAUACUUCCAGUACGGCAAACUCUACUUCCAGUGGAAGUCCUGGUACAAGAAUGUAGAAAACCACAAGCAUUAUGAAAAGGGCAUCAGGUUUGGGCGUCGUAGCAACAAGCUGGAUUUGUAUUAUUCUCCCACGGUGGGCCAGCCAGGCAGUGGACCGGUGCCUGUGGUAGUGUUUAUAUACGGGGGAGCCUGGGGUUCAGGGGAGAGGUCCAUAUACUGUCUACUGGCCAUGCAGAUGGCUAAGGAGCUCAGCGCAACGGUGAUCUGCCCCGACUAUUGCACCUAUCCAAAGGGUAAUGUUUUGUGUAUGGUUCAAGAUAUUGCGGACUGUCUCAUUUGGGCGAGGGACAGCGGCCAUAAAUUCAACUUUGACAAAGAUAACAUUGUGUUAAUCGGCCACUCCGCUGGGGCUCACCUAGCAGCUCUAACCGUCCUGUUCAUGGUCGAGGGACGAGACGAGCUCUUUAUAGAUGCCAAGAAGCAGACAGAGAUCACCAUGGCAAUCAGAGGAGUUACAGGUUUGAGUGGAGUGUACAACAUCAUGGACCACUACGAACAUGAACAGAUGAGAGCUGUGGAGUAUGUCUCUACGAUGCACAAAGCCAUGAACGGAGUGGAGAACUUCCCUUAUUACUCACCAACACACCUACUGAAGAAAUUCAGCGAGGAACAACUGAAAAGAGUGCCACCUUUCUGCUUGCUUCACGGGACCAACGACAUCAUAGUUCCGAUGGAAUCUUCCCAGAGGUUUUCUGAGCUGCUCACGUCCCUGUCAAUCAAGGUGUCUCUGUACCUCAUGCCUAAAAUGGACCACACAGAGAUAGUCACCGAUCUCAUGACGACAGACAGGCACUUCUACAAAACAGUGUACAGCUGCAUCAAACAGGAAUACAGCAAGUUCAUAGGCCAGGUCUGUGACUGCUGAACGAAACAACUAACACAAUACAUUAUUCAUUCAUGAUGUGCUGUAAUUCAUCUUGUUUACAUUUUAUUUUAUUUUCUUCUUCUUCCAGUUAAUUAUUAUUAUUAUGAUACCUGGAAUUUACAGGAUAUAGACUUUUCGACAAAAACAAAAAAAUUGUUUUAGCUCUGUGUUUUAAUCUCUGGUGUGUGUGUUUCAUAAAGGUUCCAUGAUUGUAAACAGACUGAAUGAUAUUUUAAUACAAUCCUUCCUGAUUUUUACACAUCAGAUUAUUUUUCAGAGCUGAUAUGAUUGGUCAAAUGAUUAGCCGGUAGAAAAAUCCGAAUUGGUCAGACCUCAAAUGCACAUGCCAAAUAAUCGUGCCAGAUUUUUCACCUUUAGGACAAUCCCAUUGGUUAUAUUGUACCAGGCCAACUAAAUCAAGUAUUUGAAAGUAUUGGAAAUGUAUUUGACCAAGUCUGGUGCGUAUAGAACACUGUAUGAGAUAUCCCAAGGUCCAAUAUAUUCACUGUGCUUCUGCUUCUGCUUCUGCACUGUUUGUUCAUUGAGGGUUUUAGGCUGGGUAUCUUUAAAGCACUUUGUGACAACUGCUGAUGUAAAAAAAAAGAAAGAAAAAUGGCUUUAUAAAAUCACAUUUGAUUUAUUGAUCCAGCAACAACCUUUAUAUAGAAAUGGUGUUAGUGUUAACUCCCACUCCGACAGAGUAAUAUGGGCUAGUAUUCAGCAAAGCAUUGACAACAUUCCCGUGUGGAUUAAGACGCCACAUCCUGAAUUGCACCCUAUUCCCUACAUAGUGCAAUAGUUUUGGCCAGAGCCCUAUGGCACCCUAUUCCCUACAUAGUGCACUACUUUUGACCAGAGCCCUAUGACACCCUAUUCCCUAUAUAGUGCACUACUUUUGACCAGAGCCCUAUGGACACCCUAUUCCCUACAUAGUGCACUACUUUUGACCAGAGCCCUAUGGCACCCUAUUCCCUAUAUAGUGCACUACUUUUGACCAGAGCCUUAUGACACCUUAUUCCCUACAUAGUGCACUACUUUUGACCAGAGCCCUAUGGCACCCUAUUCCCUACACAGUGCACUACUUUUGACCAGAGCCCUAUGGACAGUGCACUAUGUAGGGAAAAGGGUACCAUUUGGGACAGAACCAAACAGUGGGGCAGAUCUAUUGUAUAUGUUCUAUUGAUAAUCUGUUGUAUUAAUAUGGUCAACCAGGAGAACAUAACAUUUUCUGUUUAUUAAAUGUUUGAACAACUACAUACUACAUCUGAUGAAAUGUAUUCAUUACAUUACUCUAUUUUGCAUUUUGAAUGUCUUCUCUUAAAAGUUAUGUAAUGAUUUAUUUAAUAAAAGUCUUA